rnacentral:rRNA from 1 species
UAGGGAAUCUUCCACAAUGGGCGCAAGCCUGAUGGAGCAACACCGCGUGAGUGAAGAAGGGUUUCGGCUCGUAAAGCUCUGUUGUUGGAGAAGAACGUGCGUGAGAGUAACUGUUUCACGCAGUGACGGUAUCCAACCAGAAAGUCACGGCUAACUACGUGCCAC